rnacentral:tRNA from 1 species
GCGGGCGUGGAGAAAUCGGCAAACUCGAUGGCUUUAGGUGCCAUUGCUCGAAAGAGCUUGGGGGUUCGAAUCCCUCCGCCCGCA